rnacentral:rRNA from 1 species
UACGUAGGUGGCGAGCGUUGUCCGGAUUUACUGGGCGUAAAGGGCGUGCAGGCGGUUUGUUAAGUGCAGGGUGAAAGCUCCCGGCUCAACUGGGAGAGGUCCUUGCAUACUGGCGAACUCGAGGGAGGCAGAGGAAAGUGGAAUUCCCGGUGUAGUGGUGAUAUGCGUAGAUAUCGGGAGGAACACCAAUGGCGAAGGCGGUUGCCUGGGGCCUUGCUGACGCUGAUGCGCGAAAGCGUGGGGAGCGAUCCGG